GCGGAUGUGGCGGAAUGGCAGACGCAGUAGACUCAAAAUCUACCGGUGGUAACAUCGUGAGGGUUCGAGUCCCUCCAUCCGCA
rnacentral:tRNA from 1 species